GGGAACAUAGCUCAAUUGGUAGAGUCGCAAGAGGGGAAGUCUUGCGAAUAAGGUUUGAUUCCUUUUGAAGCAUGGUUGCUUAAUAUGCAGGUUCGAAUCCUGUUGUUCCCG
rfam:Streptococcus phage phi5218, complete genome.